rnacentral:lncRNA from 1 species
UGAUUAUUUGGACGGACUGUGCUACUCACUUGAUCCUUAUGGUGCCUUUUAGGAAUCGCAAUUGAAGCUUCAGCUUAAGGACACUGUCAGUUCUUCGCCUCGGGAAGAGCUUGAAGCUGAAGAUGCCAACAGCAACGGGAAACCCAUAACAGAGGAAGAAACACUAGAAGUAAAGGAGGAAACUGCUCUUAUGCAGCAGCCAGGUGCUGGUAUGGAUUAUCUGACCGAGGACAAUGAAGCUGCUGCAGACAUGAUCAGAUAUGUAGGACAUGACUCCAACGUCCACCUGAAGUCUUUGAAGUCAGACAUCGUUUCGGUUACAGGGGUCCUCGUUUUCUCCACUUGCCUUUGGGAUGGUGCUCUUUGGUAAAGUUGCUCUUCAGAAGUUAUAUGGGCCUGCCUUUUGCAGUCACUCCCUGCUCAACCAGUCAUCCAGAGUGGAGCC